AUUGAACGCUGGCGGCAUGCUUUACACAUGCAAGUCGAACGGCAGCACGGAUGCUUGCAUCUGGUGGCGAGUGGCGGACGGGUGAGUAAUACAUCGGAACGUGUCCUUAAGUGGGGGAUAACGCAUCGAAAGAUGUGCUAAUACCGCAUAAUAUCUAAGGAAGAAAGUGGGGGAUCGAAAGACCUCAUGCUUUUGGAGCGGCCGAUGUCUGAUUAGCUAGUUGGUGGGGUAAUGGCCUACCAAGGCAACGAUCAGUAGUUGGUCUGAGAGGACGACCAGCCACACUGGGACUGAGACACGGCCCAG
rnacentral:rRNA from 1 species